GGAGUAUAUAUUAAGAUGAUCGACCAUUGGUCAAUUGAUGCUCCUAACCUGUGUAAUUGACUUUUACAUGACUGCCUCUCUUAUGCUGGCUUCUACAUACAACACUUUCUCUAUCUGUCAGCUAUAUAUAUUUUUUAUAAUAAUGAAAGUAAAACUCUCAAACUUCAAAGUAUCCUUUUGUUUCUAAUAUUUGUCCAAUCCGCAUACUAGAUAGUUUAAUGCUAACCUCCGUUUUAGAAUACUUGGCAAUUUUGACCAAAUAUGGUUACCAAGGCAAUUCAACUUUUCAAGAAUGAAAUGACUAAAAUGCCCUUACAAACCUAUCUUUAAGUGUUUCUAGAACAUCCUAUAAUAUUUGUAUGAGGGCAAAAUGAGAAAGUGUUUCUUGGAAAACGUGAAGUGCCAAAUAUUUUAAAACAAAUAAAGUGGUCAAAAGUGACAAGUAUUUGGAAAUGGAGGUUGCUACUAGAGUAAU
rnacentral:lncRNA from 1 species